ensembl:snRNA Gm22975 U6 spliceosomal RNA
GGGCUCGCCUCAGCAGCACAUAUACUUAAACCGGAACGAUACAGAGACGAUUAGCAUGGCCCCUGAGCAAGAUGACACAAAAAUUCAGGAAGCUUUCAACUUGUUU